rnacentral:rRNA from 1 species
GUAGGGAAUAUUGCACAAUGGGCGAAAGCCUGAUGCAGCAACGCCGCGUGCACGAUGAAGGCCUUCGGGUCGUAAAGUGCUUUUCUGUAGGACGAGAGAGGACGGUACUGCAGGAAUAAGGAUCGGCUAACUACGUGCCAGCAGCCGCGGUAACACGUAGGAUCCGAGCGUUAUCCGAAUUCACUGGGCGUAAAGCGCUUGCAGGCGGCUGGGUAAGUUGGAUGUAAAAUCUUCUGGCUCAACUGGGAGAUGCCGUUCAAGACUGCCUGGCUAGAGGGCGAUAGAGGGAGGUGGAAUUCCCGGUGUAGUGGUGAAAUGCGUAGAUAUCGGGAGGAACACCAGAGGCGAAAGCGGCCUCCUGGAUCGCAACUGACGCUGAGAAGCGAAAGCUAGGGGAGCAAACGGGAUUAGAAACCCUAGUAGUCC